AGAAGCAGAUGAAUAGAAAGGGAAAAGAGUGGUUUGAGGAACUGCCAGAAGCCAAGUUUUAUUGCAGCCUUCCAGCUCCUCCACAGGAGGAACCAGCUGGGGGAUUCCACCCUGUGUUGUGGUUGCACAGACCAGGUACAUAAGAUUAUGUAUUUUUAAAGUUUUCUACCUGUUUGAUAAAAGAAAACCAAUUUAUAUCUACAAGUGGGAUUUUCAGUGUGUACCAGUAAGCUCUCACAUUGGUAGCUGAAAUUCAUCUGACUUUGUUACUACAUCAAAGUUACAUUGGACAUUCUAAGCAAAUGUUUGUUGUCUGCUUCCUUGUGAAGCCAGUGUUAAAGAGAGAUACAAUCCUAAUUGAUAAGCAGAGGCACUAGACCUAAGGGUGGAGCUUCCGAGCCAGUGCCCCUUUUUCUUAUCUCUGCAUUUAGACCAAUACCAAAACACUGACAUCUCAGAACCUAAGGGUGGAGCUUCCAAGCCAGCGCCCCUUUUUCUUAUCUCUGCAUUUAGACCAAUACCAAAACACUGACAUCUCAGCUAGAAGAGCUGUUUAAAAAAAUAAAGACAGAGCUUGAUAAGAAAAAGAGGGUGAUCCUGAGAGACCUUCAGUAUAAUGAGGAAGCAGACCUGGCAAUCAUUGCUGACAAGAGGAAGAAAAUGGAGCAGAAGAGAGACCAGGCUGAGCAGAAUCUUCAGGCUUUGCAGAAGAGAAAAGAGCAACCAGAUAUUUUCCUCUUCUUCAAAGAUCUGAAACUGGUCACAGACAGGAUUGCCAGUCUGAAUCUGUACCCUGAGCAUGUGUAUGUGGAGGAAGUGCAGCUGGAUCAGAACUACACCAUGAGCCAGUUUGAAAGGCAGAAGCAGAGUUUUAUGUGGCAGCUGGACUGCCUGCUGCGGGACGUGCGCGUUAGAACUUGCCAACUAAAUGAAGAGCAGCAGGAAAACAUCAUGUAGGAGGAGCAACAUACAUACUUGUUUGAGAAUUUUGAUUCCCUUAGGCCCAGACCUAAGAGAGACAUGAAAAACAUGUCAGAACUGAGAUGGAAAGAAAAACUUAAAUAUUAUCCAAAAUUACCUCUAAUGAUGAGAACCUGCCGUGUGUUUUGAUCUCCCCUCCUACCUUGCAUUCAAAUCAAUUCCAUAACAUGUGAAAAUUUUUUUAUAAGUGCUAAGAAUUAAUAGGAACAUAAUAAAAUCUCCACCUGCUGCUGCAUUGAAAACUGUGGACUGUAUCAUCUCAUGGGUCCAAUUAUACUUUUGUACAAUGAUUUGUGAUGUUUUUGUCACUAUGUGGCUAAAUAACCAAAUAAAUGGCUCUAGAUACACAUAAGCAAGGCUGGAGGAUUUCAUACCAGCACCAGGAAUUAGUUGUUGAGAGCAUUUUUUGUGGGUAGACUCCUGAGAAAUCAAGGCUGAAGUUCUCUGUGCUUUUACAGGACUUGUGGCUACAACUCUGUCCUGUCACUUGUGAUAAUCAACAUGCACCUGGUUUCAGGGAUUAAAAAUAAACACAGCAAUCAAUCUCAGAUUUAGAGCAGUAUCUCUCUUCCUGCUUUAAAUGGACUCUCCAGCUGUGCUGUGUGCUCAGCCCUGGCUCUGCUGCACCCAUCAAUUGUCAGCACAGCAGAAAGUGUGCAGCCAAAUUUUGGGAGCUCAAGGUGACUUUGCAAAUAAUUCCUUCCUGCUCCAUGCCAGCAAGGCACAAAGGGCAGCUGUUCAGCCACUCAGGUGAGCUAAAAGAAACGAGCCUGUCCUUCAGCACUUUCCUGACCUGGGCUUCUCUCUGCCAGCUGAAGGGUGGGGAGCAGCCAGAGCAGGUCGGUGCUGCUGCUGCAGACAGAGUUCCUGCAGUGCUGCAAAUCCCUGCAGACAGCAGCCCUCACUCAAAAGUGGGAUUUGUAAUCCUGCUGCAGGCUCACAAAGCUUUUGGAUAAAUAGGAGUAUCUAGGAAGGUGGAAUUUCUGAGUUGAUGGUGCACUUUAAUUCCCCCAUACAUUUGCUCGUUUGCAAAGAGACUCCUCGGAAUUUGUGACUUGUUUUAAUGUUUCAUGCCUUAGCCUUGAGGAAGCAAAGAGCUGAAAGACUGGAUGAAAGAAGGGUAAGAAAAUACUCUGAGUCCAGCAAUUACUUAACUAAGCCUUCUAACACACAUCAACACUCUGAAAAUUUUAUCACCUAAUUACCUCUUGACUCUAGGUGACAAUAUUGGACCAUGACACACACUGAGAGUGCAGCAAUUCUGCACAGAUGUUUGUGCAGAACACUCUUUCUUGAUUGCAGUAUAACUGUGACAUGCACAGUCCUGAGAUAUGGACAGGGUUUAUUUCUUUUUGAUAUUUUUAUGGCUUAAGUAUUUUGAUUACCUAAGAACUCUGAUUCAUUACUUCUUUCCUUUUGUAUUACGCCCUCUCCCCUCCAACCACUCAAUUUUUCCUUGGCAUUUGUCUCAUCCUUGAUGGAAGCAUUUAAAAGCAGCUCAUUUUAGCUCUUCUUUUUUGGUUUUGCCAAGCACUGAACAAUGUGACUGAAUUAAAUUAAAUGCAUUUCAAGCAUUAGGAUGGGCUUCUUUCUGUUACUUAGUCUGAUGGGUUUUCUGAGUAAGUCAGAGCUGCCACAUGUAGAUCUGUGUGUGUGUGACAUUAAUUAGGGCUUUCCAAGCCCAGCAGGUCAGGAUGGGGAGGAAGGUUUGUCCCAGGUAGUUCCAUCUUCUCCAUCUCCAAACUUAAUGCAACAAUGUGCAAAUUCAGGCCUGAAUCUCAGUGCACUGUGAGCUGUAGAGGGAAGGAAGGGCAAGGAGAGAAAAUAACUCAUUUUUAACCACUUCCAGCAUAACCCAGCCAUCCUCCCAUGGAGCUGUACCAGGGACUGCCAGGAGGGCAGGACUGAAGGCACAAGGCUCCUUACACAAGGCUGGCAGCCAGGUGGCACAAAGCAGCUGAGAGCCAGGAGAAAUCCCAGGCUGCCCUUAUCUGCUGAGUGAUAACGCUGACCUGGGAGCCUGGAGAAACUGGGAAGAGCCAGGGAGAGUGGCUGGCUGUGGGGUUUAUGGACAGAGGGCUGAUAACAGCACCACAGGCAGCACACAGAGCAAUGUGCCAGGUGCACAGGGCAUGGACAGGAGCUGCUGGGCAAAAGGCGAGGAGGGAGAGCUCCCAGGGCUGCCCAGGAGUGGCUGCUCAGUGGAACAAAGCAAUUUCCAGGAUUAUUUUGCAGUCUGACCAACUGGUCUGUGGAGAUUUGAUGUUCCAAAGAUGAUGUGGCGAUGUGGAGAAGCAGAGGGUUUGCCAGGCAGGCUGAGUGGGAUGGGCAGAUGGCACACGCUGGCAUUUGUGUGUCAGCCAACCCCAGCUCCUUGGCAGGAGGUUCUGGAGCAUGAGGAACCCUCAUGAGAGGCACAUUUCUCCAAGGCCAAAGGUUCCCUCAGCACAGAAAUAUAUUAACCAUAAAGCUUAAUAUACCUUGAGAAGAGGAAAGCAGUUGGAAGUAAAAUGAUUUAAUUAUCUUAAAUAAUUGCUUGGAUUUUUUCCACACAUUUUUUAGAAAAUCAAUCUAAAAGUAAGAAGAAAAAAAGCCUAAUAAAAUAAUAAUGCUAAAUAGGAAUUUUUCUUUUAAUAUCAUAUUCCAAGAAGAUAUUAUUUCCCUGCUUCUUCUGAAGACAUGAUAUAUUGGAUGAUCCAAGUUUUUCCACAGCCUGUGCUUCUAGAACAAGAAUGAAAACGCUGGAACACCCUUGGCUUUGGGUUUGUGAUUUCUUAUUAGGAUUCUGCAGAGUCCCCACACAAAAGACUUUGAAUGCUUUUGUCACAGAUGUCACUCCUCCCAAGGAUUUGCUCUGGUUGUCUUGGAGUCACCAUAUACUUCAAACUCAGUUAAAACUCCCGUGGAAGUCCCUAAAGGGAUUGGGAAGUCAGCCACUGAUGUUUUUGACAAUGGACAGUCAGGGGAGAGGGAGGGAGCUCCUCUAUUUCCAUUGCAAUUGCCUGUUCUGGUUACCAUGACAUCUAAUAAACCCUCAUGGAGAAGGGAAAUGUUUUCUAUGGAAAUACUCAGUAUUUCUACAGUAAGAUUUACAGCAUU
rnacentral:lncRNA from 1 species